GAUGGGAACGGGGGAGAAGAAGGGCACCGCGGCGGGAGGGAAGAAACAGAGCGAGCUACGCUGCAGGAGCGCAGUUACCAGCCGGCUGCGAUCACGUGCCUGGGAGGAGGAGCUGAGACCUCAGGGGAGGGGCGCGCGGUAGCGUCCCGGGUCCCCUAGCAGGGCUCUAGAGACCACGUGAAGUCUCCUCGACAGCUGCUUUGCCUCAGGCAUAAAUCAGAAGAGGAAAACCAGCUUCUGGACCUGGAGAGAGGAUGAAAGGGAAUAGGAAUUGAGGGAAGCGGAAGGGAAGAAUAAGGGACCCCUGGAGAGUCCCUACCAAGCCAGACAUAACAAACAAAAGUCCUCUACUACUGAGGAAGACAGAACAGGGAAGCCAGCAGGGGAAGAAAAAGAUGCUGCUGCUCUUGAUGCCUCAAAAACAGCAAGGAAGAACCCAAGCAACUGAUGUACACACCCUUGGAACAAAUCUGCCCCAGAAGUACAAGACACACUCUUCGAAUUCAUGGAAUAAAUGGGAGGAGCUGGUGUAGUGAAGGAUGAAGAGAAGGCAAUGCAUUGGUUUAGACAAGCCUCCCAGCAGGACCAUCCUGGUGCUGCCUUUAACCUUGCAGUAGGAACACUGAAAAACAUGACUGCCUCCAUGGAAGCAGGGGAUGUAGAAAUGCUCCUUAAUGUUGCUGCAAAAUGGGGGAUCCAAGAAGCCCAAGAACUUCUGGAGAAUGUUAUUUGGACUAAAAGCAAGCUCUUGCCAACUGAAAGAACCAGG
rnacentral:lncRNA from 1 species